GGGGAAUAUUGCGCAAUGGGGGAAACCCUGACGCAGCAACGCCGCGUGAGUGAUGAAGGCCUUAGGGUUGUAAAGCUCUGUUAUCUGGGACGAUAAUGACGGUACCAGAGGAGGAAGCCACGGCUAACUACGUGCCAGCAGCCGCGGUAAUACGUAGGUGGCGAGCGUUGUCCGGAUUUACUGGGCGUAAAGAGUGCGUAGGCGGAUGUUUAAGUGAGAUGUGAAAUACCCGAGCUCAACUUGGGUGCUGCAUUUCAAACUGGGCAUCUAGAGUGCAGGAGAGGAAAGCGGAAUUCCUAGUGUAGCGGUGAAAUGCGUAGAGAUUAGGAAGAACACCAGUGGCGAAGGCGGCUUUCUGGACUGUAACUGACGCUGAGGCACGAAAGCGUGGGGAGCAAAC
rnacentral:rRNA from 1 species